UUUUGACUAUAAAUGAGGCACCAAAAUCGUGGAAAUUUAGUUAUUGUUCAAGUGAUUUGACUAUAAACAUGUCUAAGCAAUUGAUGGUUUGUUUGGUUCUGGUUGCGGUUUUGGGAGACCAAUUCAUGCAAACUGAGGGUGGGCCUGGGAACGUGCCUACCAAAGCGAUGGGAGCAGUGGGACAAG